rnacentral:rRNA from 1 species
AUUGAACGCUGGCGGCAUGCUUUACACAUGCAAGUCGAACGGCAGCACGGACUUCGGUCCGGUGGCGAGUGGCGAACGGGUGAGUAAUACAUCGGAACGUGCCCAGUUGUGGGGGAUAACUACUCGAAAGAGUAGCUAAUACCGCAUGAGAACUGAGGUUGAAAGCAGGGGAUCGUAAGACCUUGCGCAACUGGAGCGGCCGAUGGCAGAUUAGGUAGUUGGUGGGAUAAAAGCUUACCAAGCCGACGAUCUGUAGCUGGUCUGAGAGGACGACCAGCCACACUGGGACUGAGACACGGCCCAGACUCCUACGGGAGGCAGCAGUGGGGAAUUUUGGACAAUGGGCGAAAGCCUGAUCCAGCAAUGCCGCGUGCAGGAUGAAGGCCUUCGGUUUGUAAACUGCUUUUGUACGGAACGAAAAGCUUCGGGUUAAUACCCUGGAGUCAUGACGGUACCGUAAGAAUAAGCACCGGCUAACUACGUGCCAGCAGCCGCCGUAA